UUUCCUUGUUCCAUCAUAUACAACGAAAGACUCUUCAGCGUUCAAGAUUGAAAAGCGUUCGGAUGCAUAUUGCACGUGUUACGCGAUCAUAGAGACUGAAUAGAAGAGAUUCUAGUUGUUACGAGAAUAUCUAGUAUACAAAGAACCAAGAAGAUUCAUAAAACUCUCACGGAGGAGACUACAUCAUCGAGCAAACACAUAUAAGACGUAUACAAGUCAGAGACGUAUACUUCGGAGAUGGCUAGAAUAGAUAACGCAUCAGUGAAAGUAAAAUUACGAAGGAUCUAUGGAAAUUUUGGUAUCUUUGAUAACUACAAUCUCUGAAUAUCAACCCGAAAAUGAAAAAGGAAACGUUUAUUAACGUUGACGAUGAUUCGGCUAAUGAAGAAUGAAAGUAUAAGUUAAAAAGUGAAAUGUGUUCACGCGUGACGCAACACCUGGGGAAACAAGUCGUGGGAGCAAUUAAAAUAAUAAUACGUGGCUUGUAAGGUAGACAUUAAACAAAUCGCGUGAAUCCACAGGGACCCCCUUUUUUUUGCGUUCCUCUCUUGUAAUCAUUCUGUAAAUAAAUGAAGAAAAAAAUUGAUACAAGUGACGAUAUAUAAAGAAGAAAGAAGAAAAAGAAGAAGAAAAAAGGAUAAAUUAUAAUUUCUAAAAAGUCUCUCUUUAAUAAGAUCUUUACAUUAUAACUUAUAAAAUCUUACACGUAGAUCCAGUCUUACGUAUAGAAACGAGAGGGAUUCGCUUCACUGACUGGUACAUCCUUGUGCCAGAUUCUAAGGAUUCCACGCACGAUGAAUGAUAUAGUAUCGUAAUGACUGGCAAAAUCUGCACGAAUUACACUGGCUUUCGUUUGUCCUGACAUAUUUUUCUUGCUACCGACGUAUCGAAUUGUUCUAUCCUGUGAGAAAAUCGACCGAACAAUUUAAGCAACUCGCGCACCAAUUCCCACGUCUAGAAAAGGAACUUAAUUCAAUAUAUUUGAUACGAUCGAAAGACAAAUGGAACACCCUAUAUACAUGGACCUAUUCAGGAUGCUGAUCUUUAGACGAAUGGUGAUUUCUAAUCUCUUGAUUGCCCAAGAAAUUCCUUAUUUUAUGGAAAGUACAAUGAACAAGCACGUAAUCCGUUCAUGGCAUUGUUAUCUUGAAGGCACACGGCUAAUUAAACACGCACGUCCCUCCUCUUGACCCCACCUCUGAAGACUCACCUAUACAUCCGGUCCUUCGGUAACAAAAAAAAAAAAAAAAAAACAAAAACUCUCACGAGAAUUGCAGGUCGUAACCCUUUCAACUUUUCUCCUUGAAAGAAUAGCAUCGAAGAUGAAAUUUCAAAACGUAUCAUAUAUAAAUAAGAUCAAUAUAUAUACUUUGUGAAUAAAUAUAAACAUAAUAUUUAUAAUAGUAUUUCUCUCGAUAGAUGUAUACUAUUUUCGAGAAAAUUCAUUGAAUCAUGCUGAUGACUGAUUCGUUAUAUUACAUAAUUUAAUGCAAAAACUUCACAAACAUAAAUUCACUGUACAUCGAGGAAUUUUAUGUUUUAUCUAAAGCUUCAAGAAUGAGACAUCGUGAUAGAGAAAGUUGUAUGUAUCCAUCUAUCUAUCUAUAAUAUCGUAUAUAGCAUCCUUCUACUGACUUAUGAUUAUAAAUCAAGAAAUAUAAUCGCAGGAUAAAUAGAAUAAAAUAUUAGUAUAAAAUGUUGAUCUAUAUGACAGAUAAAAAGAUCAAUGUCUCGUUAUUUGAAAUCAAUGAAGGAGAAAACGAGUAUCGAGUAGGAGGAUUUAUACUCAAUGAAGCAUAUAAACGUUCUUUUACGUUUACUUCCUCAUUAGAACAAUAAUAAUCGUUUAUAAAAUGAUUUCUUCUUUCUUAUCUCUAUAAAUUUAACAUUUUUAAUUUAACACAUUUUUUUUCAUGC